rnacentral:tRNA from 1 species
UACCUGGAGGACUAGUGGUUAGGCUCGAUGCUCUGACCGCCACGGCUCAGGUUCGAUUCCCGGACCAGGGAA